UCGUGUUCUACGCGCUGUUUCUGGAUGAGUGUAAGGAACAGAGACUGGUGGCAGCGAGUUGUGUUUUCCCCAGAAAUGCGAAGCUUUCAUCCCUGCCAUCGUUUCUAAUCUGUGUAUUAUUACAGUUGUUUGGGUCUUGCUUCUCACAUGUCCUCUGACACUCCGUUCCUUUUUCUCCAUGAUUUGAGCAUUUGAAGAAUGUCAUUGGAGCCACACAGUCUAAAAACACAAAAGGCAUAUGGAUGAGGUGGAGAAAAUUAGCAUACAUCAAACAAGCGGUGACUCAAGUUUGAAAUUAAAUGGUAGUAUUGCAGAAGAGCUAAUUGCAGAUCACCUUCUUGACUGGAGCAGUGCAGUUUGCCAAGGUUACAGCAUCAUCUUUGUGGAACACUGCAGAUGGCUUUAUGACCUGGUUGCCAUAGUAACAAGGACACUGGUCAGCAUGUACACAGCUGCCACCUUCAUUGAGUUGACAAAGGAUGUUGGUGUGCCCUCUAUGAUGCCCGAUGUUGUUUUAAAGUCAUCUGAUUGGAUGUCGUUAUAGUUCCCACACAGACCUGAGAGAAGCAAGUGCUGGCUACAAUAUACAACUGCAUGACUGGAGCCAACUGGAUCUCUAGACGAAGACUCUUCAUAUCAGCAACGAUGAAAGAGGAAGUGGGCUGGAAGAUGCUCACAGGACCUGGGACAACAAAAUUAUUGAAAAAGG